rnacentral:tRNA from 1 species
GCGGAUGUAAUUCAGUGGUAGAAUACAAGCUUCCCAAGCUUGGUACGAGGGUUCGAUCCCCUUCAUCCGCUCCA